rnacentral:rRNA from 1 species
AUGAAAGGAGGCAAGGCGAUGGGCCCUGAUUGUAUCCCCAUUGAGGUGUGGAAAGGUCUCGGGGACAUAGCGAUAGUAUGGCUAACCAAGCUUUUCAACCUUAUUUUUCGGGCAAACAAGAUGCCAGAAGAAUGGAGACGGAGUAUAUUAGUACCAAUCUUCAAGAACAAGGGAGAUGUUCAGAGUUGUACUAAUUACCGUGGAAUUAAGCUGAUGAGCCAUACAAUAAAGCUAUGGGAGAGAGUCAUUGAGCACCGCUUAAGAAGAAUGACAAGCGUGACCAAAAAUCAGUUUGGUUUCAUGCCUGGGAGGUCGACCAUGGAAGCCAUUUUCUUGGUACGACAACUUAUGGAGCAUAAGGACUUGCAUAUGGUGUUCAUUGACUUGGAGAAGGCCUAUGAUAAGAUACCGCGGAAUGUCAUGUGGUGGGCCUUGGAGAAACACAAAGUCCCAGCAAAGUACAUUACCCUCAUCAAGGACAUGUACAAUAAUGUUGUGACAAGUGUUUGA